UCCUUAUUAAGAGCGGCUGAGGGAAUAGGCCCGAUGAAGCCCGGCAACCUAGAUGUUUCAGGAGUGAAAUGACAAAGGUGCUAAAUCCUACAGAAUCUAAUUCUGAAAGAUGAGGA
rfam:Firmicutes bacterium CAG:238 genomic scaffold, scf339